AUUGAACGCUGGCGGCAGGCCUAACACAUGCAAGUCGAGCGGAUGAAGGGAGCUUGCUCCUGGAUUCAGCGGCGGACGGGUGAGUAAUGCCUAGGAAUCUGCCUGGUAGUGGGGGAUAACGUCCGGAAACGGGCGCUAAUACCGCAUACGUCCUGAGGGAGAAAGUGGGGGAUCUUCGGACCUCACGCCAUCAGAUGAGCCUAGGUCGGAUUAGCUAGUUGGUGGGGUAAAGGCCUACCAAGGCGACGAUCCGUAACUGGUCUGAGAGGAUGAUCAGUCACACUGGAACUGAGACACGGUCCAGACUCCUACGGGAGGCAGCAGUGGGGAAUAUUGGACAAUGGGCGAAAGCCUGAUCCAGCCAUGCCGCGUGUGUGAAGAAGGUCUUCGGAUUGUAAAGCACUUUAAGUUGGGAGGAAGGGCAGUAAGUUAAUACCUUGCUGUUUUGACGUUACCAACAGAAUAAGCACCGGCUAACUUCGCG
rnacentral:rRNA from 1 species